UUCAAUGUCGUCUACCCAGAGAUUGCUUCCAGACAACUUUUGGGUCAAAGGACAUGUACUACAAACUACUGGAAUCGCAGCGUUAACAUAUUCAUCAAUCUUUCCUUGUUGAGUACGGUCAGAAAAAAGUUUGUACUUAAAAAAAUAUUGUACUUAUUUACCUAUCAAAUAAUGUGUUAAGAGUCGUGUUUUGUACGAGAGGACGUGGCCGUUCGGCGCGCUACACUGAUGAGCGAAGGGUGUGUUUAUAGGGUGACAAUUGUCUACGGAUAUAUCUGGAAUGAAUCAGUCAGAGAAUUUCACGUGCAAUAUUUUUUCAUGUUAUGAAUAUUAUUAAAAAAAUUAUAAUAUA